UACGGAGGGGGCAAGCGUUGUUCGGAAUUACUGGGCGUAAAGGGCGCGCAGGCGGCUGCUCAAGUCAGGCGUGAAAGGCCUGGGCUCAACCCGGGAAUUGCGCUUGAGACUGGGCUGGCUUGAGUGCGGGAGAGGAUGGUGGAAUUCCCCAAGUAGAGGUGAAAUUCGUAGAUAUGGGGAGGAACACCGGUGGCGAAGGCGGCCACCUGGCCGGUAACUGACGCUGAGACGCGAAAGCAUGGGGAGCAAACAGG
rnacentral:rRNA from 1 species